GAUGAACGCUGGCGGCGUGCCUAAUACAUGCAAGUCGAGCGAACGGACGAGAAGCUUGCUUCUCUGAUGUUAGCGGCGGACGGGUGAGUAACACGUGGAUAACCUACCUAUAAGACUGGGAUAACUUCGGGAAACCGGAGCUAAUACCGGAUAAUAUUUUGAACCGCAUGGUUCAAAAGUGAAAGACGGUCUUGCUGUCACUUAUAGAUGGAUCCGCGCUGCAUUAGCUAGUUGGUAAGGUAACGGCUUACCAAGGCAACGAUGCAUAGCCGACCUGAGAGGGUGAUCGGCCACACUGGAACUGAGACACGGUCCAGACUCCUACGGGAGGCAGCAGUAGGGAAUCUUCCGCAAUGGGCGAAAGCCUGACGGAGCAACGCCGCGUGAGUGAUGAAGGUCCUCGGAUCGUAAACUCUGUUAUUAGGGAAGAACAUAUGUGUAAGUAACUGUGCACAUCUUGACGGUACCUAAUCAGAAAGCCACGGCUAACUACGUG
rnacentral:rRNA from 1 species